AUGCUCCAAAUAUCUGUAGGCUUCUCACCCAUUAACCCAAUCACUUUUAUCUUCACAUUCCCGACCUUUGCCAAACUCACAAACACCUACUGCCUGUUGACCAUCUGAGGACCAGAGAACUUCUAGUGUGUUUGAGGGUGAGCUUUCUGAUACCAUCUCCGUGGUGAACGCAUCCAUCCCCGGCUGCCAAAUCAUCUGGCACAUGUGUGUGGGGAACAGUCAUAGGCUCCUGGUACCCAACAACAUGACCGACCAGGAGCUGCAGCACAUCUGCAACAGCCUGCCUGACUCGGUGCAGAUAUGGCUGGUGGAGGAGCGGCCCUCAGCCCUUGGCAAUGUUACCACCUGCAAUAACUAUGUGGCCUUGGUCCACCCAGACUUGGACAGGGAGACAGAAGAGAUCCUGGCUGAUGUCCUCAAGGUGGAAGUCUUCAGACAGACAGUUGCUGACUAGGCGCUAGUAGGAAGCUACUGUAUCUUCAGUAAUCAAGGAGGUCUGGUGCACCCUAAAACUUCUAUCGAGGACCAGGAUGAGUUGUCCUCCCUUCUUCAGGUCCCCCUUGUGGCAGGCACUGUGAACCUAGGGAGUGAGGUGAUUGCUGCUGGGAUGGUGGUGAACGAUUGGUGUGUUUUCUGUGGUCUGGACACAACCAGCACAGAGCUGUCGGUGGUGAAGAGCAUCUUCAAGCUGAAUGAAGCCAAAUCAAGUACCAUUGCCACCAGCAUGUGGGAUUCCCUCAUUGACAGCCUCACAUUAGUCACUGCCCAUGCUGCCGUGUGA